rnacentral:rRNA from 1 species
UGGGGAAUAUUGCACAAUGGGCGCAAGCCUGAUGCAGCCAUGCCGCGUGUGUGAAGAAGGCCUUCGGGUUGUAAAGCACUUUCAGCGGGGAGGAAGGCGUUAAGGUUAAUAACCUUGGCGAUUGACGUUACCCGCAGAAGAAGCACCGGCUAACUCCGUGCCAGCAGCCGCGGUAAUACGGAGGGUGCAAGCGUUAAUCGGAAUUACUGGGCGUAAAGCGCACGCAGGCGGUCUGUCAAGUCGGAUGUGAAAUCCCCGGGCUCAACCUGGGAACUGCAUUCGAAACUGGCAGGCUAGAGUCUUGUAGAGGGGGGUAGAAUUCCAGGUGUAGCGGUGAAAUGCGUAGAGAUCUGGAGGAAUACCGGUGGCGAAGGCGGCCCCCUGGACAAAGACUGACGCUCAGGUGCGAAAGCGUGGGGGCAAACAGG